UCAGCUGUUCGAUUGACUUUGUAGUGUGCUUAAAUUAGUGAAAAAUCUUUGCAAACUUUCUCUGUUUUUUUUGUGGUGCAACAAAUUGAUUUAUUAUUUCUGAUUAUGGCAAAUCGUAGCAAAGCUUAAAACUAGCACAACGUUGCAAAAAGCAACUUAUGAGCUCCCACACGCUGCACUUCUCGAAGUUUGGGAGAAAAACAGGCGCUCGGAAGAUGCUCUAAGAAGCUACAUACAAAUACAACUUUACGG